rnacentral:rRNA from 1 species
UGGGGAAUUUUGGACAAUGGGCGAAAGCCUGAUCCAGCAAUGCCGCGUGUGUGAAGAAGGCCUUCGGGUUGUAAAGCACUUUUGUCCGGAAAGAGAUCCUUGGCUCUAAUACAGUCGGGGGAUGACGGUACCGGAAGAAUAAGCACCGGCUAACUACGUGCCAGCAGCCGCGGUAAUACGUAGGGUGCAAGCGUUAAUCGGAAUUACUGGGCGUAAAGCGUGCGCAGGCGGUUUGCUAAGACCGAUGUGAAAUCCCCGGGCUCAACCUGGGAACUGCAUUGGUGACUGGCAGGCUAGAGUAUGGCAGAGGGGGGUAGAAUUCCACGUGUAGCAGUGAAAUGCGUAGAGAUGUGGAGGAAUACCGAUGGCGAAGGCAGCCCCCUGGGCCAAUACUGACGCUCAUGCACGAAAGCGUGGGGAGCAAACAGGAUUAGAUACCCUGGUAGUCCACGCCCUAAACGAUGUCAACUAGUUGUUGGGGAUUCAUUUCCUUAGUAACGUAGCUAACGCGUGAAGUUGACCGCCUGGGGAGUACGGUCGCAAGAUUAAAAGCUCAAAGGAUUUGACGGGGGCUCAUAGCUGUUUUUCCC